GCAGCCGCGGUAAUACGUAGGUGGCAAGCGUUAUCCGGAAUUAUUGGGCGUAAAGAGUGAGCAGGCGGUUAAGGAAGUCUAAGAUGAAAAGCUAUUGCUUAACGAUAGUUUGUUUUAGAAACUCCUUGGCUAGAGUACGGUAGAGGUAAGCGGAAUUCCAUGUGUAGCGGUGAAAUGCGCAGAUAUAUGGAGGAACACCAGUGGCGAAGGCGGCUUACUAGACCGGGACUGACGCUGAGUCACGAAAGCGUGGGUAGCAAAUAGGAUUAGAUACCCC
rnacentral:rRNA from 1 species